rnacentral:tRNA from 1 species
CAAGACCUGCGAAAUACUAAACGCAUCUUCUGAAUGCAACUCAAACACUUUAAUUAAGCUAAGGCCUU